UGAAUUGUGGGUAAAUAAUGUCUUUGUUUUUUUACAAAUUCCAUUUGUUUCUCUUUUUAAGUUAAUCAUUUCUUUUGUGUUUGAAGGACUUAAGUUAAUUGUUUUGGAAUUCUAAUAUUAGAAAGUUAUAAGUCAAGUUUAGUGUCUCAAGACUUCAUCAAAAAUAUUGGACUAUAAAACCCCUCAAACAAAGAAAUUUAACUCGUGUGAUUUACUGUUAAAAAUAUAGAUAAAGGAUAUAAAUGUCCAAAUAAAAAUAAAAUAAACAAAAGCAGAAAACAUAGGAAAUAAAAAAUAAACUAAAAGGAAAAAAAAUGGAAACACGAACGUGAAGGAACCCACGUUGCAGACUAGCGGUUCCAGUUCACUUGAUUGUUGCAACCUAUAUAACUAUUGCAUACGCACUCAUUAGCUGCAUAAGAAAUUAAAAACCUACCCAGUUGGUAAGCCAUUUGAUUCUCAUGUUGGAUUUUUUGGUUUAUCUCUCUAUCUUUCAAAGUUUUCUCCACAUAUAUGUUCUCGAAUGCAAAGUCAAUUCCUUCUCUUCUUCUUUAAUUUGGCAGAUGGGGUUGUCAAUUUGAUUCUCCACCCAAGACAGAGAGUCCGUGUGUAAAGAGAGAAGGCAAAGAGGGUCUGGCAUUUGGACGGCGACGAUUGAGUUGCUGCUGCUACUCAAAAAAUGGAUUGCAACAUGGACAAGUACAUAUAAAUACCCCUUCUCAUUCUUUCUAUCAUUUUAGCUUCUGGUUGAGUUGCUACUUGAGUAUCAUUAAAGUAAGAAAAUAGCGCUGCUAUAGCAUAAGAAGAGGGAAGAGAAACAGUUGAGUCAUCCUCUUCUUGUUUUAGAAUGUGGAGGACGGGUUUAGAUGGAGGAACCAAAGUUGUUCUGCAAUAUCUCAAGGACAAAUUGAAAUGACUAGAAGAUUAGAGAUGGAUACAUACACGAGGGAUAUUGCAAAAAAUUACAGGUAUGCGUCCCUGGAUUGCUUUUCGGGUAAAGGAGCUUAUUGGAUUCGAAGAUGAAGUUCUUAUCAACUUUAUCUAUGGUCUUUUGGAAGGAAGGAUAAUUAGCUUUAUAUGUUUAGUGCUUUGUUCAUGGAGUGAGACUAGCUGAUAGGUUUACCAGUAGUAGUUUGUUUAGACCCUAGGCGCUAUGACUCUUUGCAACUCCAUUUGAAAUAAAAAACAGGUGCAAAAAAAUAUGCUAACUGCCAAAGCAAUAUAGAAGUAUAACCCAAAUUAAUUCCACAGUUGUGUAUCUUUUGGAAUUAGCAAGAGUUGUGCCUUAUAAUGUAAAGGUGGAAUUAGCAAGGGUUGUGCCUUAUAAUGUAAGGGUGCAAUUAUUGUGUGGAGACAUUUUGCAGUAUAAUUUAUAUUUGUUA